rnacentral:lncRNA from 1 species
UAAACAUAUUUUAAUAGAUCGAUGAAACGGGCUGAAACAAUCAGUGGCCCUACGUUUAUCUUUUGUUCAGAAGUCAAGAUUUUCUCUCUCCUGACUGUAGCUAACCAUGACUCCGUUUCUUGCUUAGUACUGCUACUUUUCUUGUUCAUCCUGUCUAGUAGGGAUCCUCAUCGUGCUGCUCUUAAAUGAGAUGAUGCUCCAGCACCAGGUCAGAUUCCUGCUCAGCCCAAGGAGAACGAGAACUUCAAGCAUCAAGUGAUCUCUAGGACUAUUUAAAACACUUCUCUUUGUCCCUGUAAAAGAACACUUCUCCUUAAAACACUACUCAGUUGCAGCGUGGCCACCACGGAAAGGCAAGAAGCUGCCUUGGGUCAAACUGCAGUAUAUCCACAAAAGCAUAGGGCACUAAGCACUUGAGUGAGCUACAUUACAACGAGCCAACUUUGAGCUAUCAUUAGAAUCUGAGAGAUGAGGCUGUCCUGGGCAAUUAUGUUCCCUGACAUUGAACUUUCUAGGAAUGUAAAUAACCUAUGUUUGAGUAUGGCUCGUCGCAGAAAGGAAAUCUUAAAAAUGACUCCUUAUUUCCCAUUGUCCAGGAAUAUGGCGAAGAUCAUUGGAAGCUAUUGCAUGUGCUAGAGUCUGGUUAUAUGUCAGGAAGAAUGAUCUGGCCACUUGUAAUGGUGGUGGCGAUUCGAGCGGCUACCUGAAGAGCUAGCGCGCUUCCGCCUGGAAGGGUGAGAUGCUUUUGUGCUGUUGUUCUCCAUCAAUUUGAAUGAAGAGCAUUGUAUCUCUUGUAGAACCUGGACUCCCUCGUAUAUGCAUAUUGUUGACCAUACUGGAAGUAGUUCCGUAAUGUUCAUCACUCUGAAAAGCAAAAAAGAAAAGGCAGAGAGAGAGAGAGAGGAUAAAUUAUUUACUUCGAUAAAUACAAAGGGUCACAAUAGAAGGUACUGUAAAAGAGACUAAAAAUCACAUAUAUUUUACAAUAUUUUGAAAGUAAAGGGGAGCCCAAAGAUUGCUCUAAAAAGUUGCGACAGUUUAAUCAUUUUCAAAAGGAGACAAAACAUGUAUGGAAUGUAUAUUUAAGGCACCACAGACAAAUAAAUAUGUUUUUAAGUAUGCAUUCAGUUCAAUAUAUAAUAGUUGGUUGCAUUCAUAUAUGGAAGAUAAAGUUAUAUAUCGCAAAUUGCAAGAAUCAAAUAUUGCAGCUAAUUAAAGUUUAGAUCAGAGCACCUCAAAAGCUGACAUGUCCUAGUACUCCAUAGAUUCAUAGCAGGUGUCAUUUUGGAUCUCUUAAACAUGCAAACAAUAGUAAUUGCAGGACCAACAGCAAAACAUGCCUUGUGUCUUUGUACUUUUCUUAUUUGAAUCAGCCCUAGCUUUAUCACUAUCAAUCAUCUAUUAUGGAUCUUUGGUUACAAGAAACAAAACACUCAUUUAAGAUAAAUUUAGUGUGAGAGACAAAACAGAAAAUCUUAAUGAUCUAGCACAAUAAUAUCUCAUAUAGUGCAACCCAAUCAGAUGAUAUAUAAUGGAACAUUCUCUGACGAUCCAGAUAAUUUUAAAAGAGCAAAUUACAAAAUACGAUAGGAUGAGAGGUGCAACUUUUCCAAUGGUACUAUAACUAGCAGUAUCAACUCCAAACAUGCUGCAUUACCAAAAAAACACUCUAACCAUGCUACAUGCUUUGUGUUUUAUCUAUGGUUGCUUCUAUUUCUUAAUACCAUGUUCAAUAAGUUGACUACAUAUGAGUUUUUGAACACAUAGAGUAGAUCUCGUAAGUCCAACUCCAUUUCAGUGCAUCAUAAACCAAAUACCGUGACUAAUUAUACAGAAGAGAUGAUCGACAUUACAAAUACUACAGAACUUGUUAUAUACGCAAGCGGAAUUCAGAAAUUCUCAUCAUACUAUUUCCAAUACUAAAAUGGUGAUGGUAGUAUCCAGCUUCAAGCUUGCUUUUACAGUCAAUAUAUCCUGCUUGCUUUUUCUCACCAACUAAGGUGAUAGGGCAAAGGGACCACAAAAAUCAUAACUUCAUCCCUCCGUCCAAAAUGAGUGUCUCAACUUUUUACUAAAGUUGUACUAAGGUUGAGACACUUCUUUUGGAACGGAGGUAUUAAUUUGUACAUGAAUUAAGUAUGGUGAUCUUUCCAAGAAAAUUUUCUACCUAUGAAAGGGUGGAACCUAUUGCGAUCCAUAGAAAGGAUUUGAUGACUCUAUUGUUAUACCUUACAUAUUACUCCCUCCGUAUCAUGUGUCAAAAAUGUCUUAUAUUAUGUUACGGAGGGAGUAUUAAUUACCAAAGGGCAGUCCCUAUCCCUACACACCCUCGAAGUUCUGCAGUACGCUGACAGUAUCAGGGGGAGACUUCAGCAAGUCCAAAUCAAUGGCCAGCCUCAAAACAUGUGAAAUGUCUACCAUCUCUUAGUAUUGUUAAAAGAUUUAUGCAGACCUGCUAAAUUUUAUUAUACAAAUAUGUAGCCGGAUUUUCUUAUAUAGAUAGCUAGCUUGUUGUAAACAGUGUCUAGUGACAUGACAAAAGGGAAAAGUAGGUUAAUUAAGAACACUACCUGACAGACUUACCCCCAUGUUCUCAGAUUCAGCUAUUACCAGCUACUAUUGAUUGACCGAAAAGAAGUGCACUGAUUUUUCUGUUGUUUUUAAUUUGUUUCAUACAAUUGCUAGUUUAUCCAACAAUCUGUGAGGGGACUGUUGGAGCUAACUCGACAUUGGCAUGUCAUAAAUUGUUGAAGGUGUGCAUAAAAAAAUUCAAGAUGCCAACAGAAGGUUAGGUAGAGGCCUGAUUAGCUCAAACCAAAUAAAAGUAAAUGCGGUGAAUAAGCCUACUUGAGAUUAAUUAACCAUGAAUCUGCUCAUCAAACUUUCUAACAAAAACAGAGUAUAUGGCGGAGAUCAGCUAGCAAAUUGAGCAAAAAGCGGUUCCCAGAAUAAAGAGGAAAACAUAAUCAAAGACGUCCUCAAAUAUUGCUAAUCUGGAAUGGAAAGAUCCCUUGUGAGAUUUUUUUUGUACCCGUGUGGCCGUGUGGCUUCUACGUUUGAUGAUUGAACAAGGUUAGGAGGAUAGUCGUAGACUUGUGGCCUUGUGGAGCAGGUGGAGACGGGGAGUCGUUCCUCAUGGCUGGACUACAUGGAGGAGGGGGCGAGCAUACCAUCGCUGGAUGCUGUCGGCCGACGAGGGCACGAGGUCGCCCGCCGCACGGACACAAGGGCUCGUCCUCACCACACCGCACAAAGCCCAGAGGCUACGCGACGCUACCAUCCGCUCGCCUCUGCGCUGCGAGCCACCCAGAACUUCCGGCCGCUCACCGCCGAGAUCUGCCACCGCUUCCGCCCUCCAUGGACCCUUUCAGAGGCCGGGUUCCAGCUCUUAAACCCACGACUAAAAAUAAUAACCG